rnacentral:rRNA from 1 species
UGGGGAAUAUUAGGCAAUGGGGGAAACCCUGACCUAGCCAUGCCGCGUGCGUGAAGAAGGUCUUAGGAUUGUAAAGCGCUUUCAGCGGGGAAGAUGAUGACGGUACCCGCAGAAGAAGCCCCGGCUAACUCCGUGCCAGCAGCCGCGGUAAUACGGAGGGGGCUAGCGUUGUUCGGAAUUACUGGGCGUAAAGGGCGUGUAGGCGGCCAAUUAAGUCAGAGGUGAAAUCCCCGAGCUCAACUUGGGAACUGCCUUUGAUACUGGUUGGCUAGAGUUCGGGAGAGGGUAGUGGAAUUCCAAGUGUAGAGGUGAAAUUCGUAGAUAUUUGGAGGAACACCAGUGGCGAAGGCGGCUCACUGGCUCGAUACUGACGCUGAGGUGCGAAAGUGUGGGGAGCAAACAGGAUUAGAUACCCUGGUAGUCCACACCGUAAACGAUGAAUGCCAGUCGUCGGGUAGCAUGCUAUUCGGUGACACACCUAACGGAUUAAGCAUUCCGCCU